GGACCUUUAGCUCAGUUGGUUAGAGCAGACGGCUCAUAACCGUCCGGUCGUUGGUUCGAGUCCAACAAGGGCCAUCA
rnacentral:tRNA from 1 species